rnacentral:rRNA from 1 species
UAAGGAAUAUUGGUCAAUGGACGCAAGUCUGAACCAGCCAUGCCGCGUGAAGGAUGAAGGUCCUCUGGAUUGUAAACUUCUUUUAUCUGGGACGAAAACGGGAUUUUUAUCUCAAUUGACGGUACCAGAGGAAUAAGCACCGGCUAACUCCGUGCCAGCAGCCGCGGUAAUACGGAGGGUGCGAGCGUUAUCCGGAUUUACUGGGUUUAAAGGGUGCGUAGGUGGGCUUAUAAGUCAGUGGUGAAAACUCCGAGCUUAACUUGGAAACUGCCGGUGAUACUAUAGGUCUUGAAUUAUCUGGAGGUAAGCGGAAUAUGUCAUGUAGCGGUGAAAUGCUUAGAUAUGACAUAGAACACCAAUUGCGAAGGCAGCUUACUACAUAUAAAUUGACGCUGAGGCACGAAAGCGUGGGGACCAAACA